AACUUUGAGCGGUGCAUCACUCGGCCCGUGGAUCGAUGACGAGUGCAGCCAACUGUGUGAAUUAAUGUGAACUGCAUACUGCUUUGAACAUCGACAUCUUGAACGCAUAUUGCGGCUGCGGGAUAUCCUGUGGCCACGCCUGUUCGAGGGUCG
rnacentral:rRNA from 1 species